rnacentral:misc_RNA from 1 species
CACAGCCAUGAGCUUAAUCCUAGCAAAAUACCACCUCGACGAUCACAUAGGAUUGCAUUCAAUGAGGAUGGGAAAGAUCUAAAAAUCCGGGAGCUAUCCACAGAAUUGCAUCGUGAGAAAAAGAAAUCAGCUGCUUAUCAAGAACAGCUACAGAUAGUCUUGAAAUAUAUCGAGGAGCAUACACAAAGGCUAUCACUUAAGAUUGAAGCAGUAUCUAACAAUGUGAGAGAAAUUGAAUGUGAAGAGCCUGACAACUCAGAUUCUAACUAGAAUAUUUUGAAACUAGAAUACAUUGAACGUUUUUUUCCACUACCAUUCAUAUCUGAAUGUGUUUUCGCUUCAUUUACCG